GGGUAGCUAAGUGCGGAAGAGAUAAGUGCUGAAAGCAUCUAAGCACGAAACUUGCCAAGAGAUGAGUUCUCCCAAUCUAAGAGAUAGUAAGGGUUGUUGUAGACUACGACGUAGAUAGGUCUGGUGUGUAAGUGUAGUGAUACAUUGAGCUAACAGAUACUAAUUGCCCGAGAGGCUUAACUAUACAACGC
rnacentral:rRNA from 1 species